rnacentral:rRNA from 1 species
AGUGAACGCUGGCGGCAGGCCUAACAUAGGCAAGGCGAGCGGCCGCGCGGGGGAAACCCUGGCGGCGCGCGGCGGACGGGUGAGGAAUACAUAGGAAUCUACCCAGUCGUGGGGGAUAACGUAGGGAAACUUACGCUAAUCCAGCAUACGACCUGAGGGUGAACGCAGGCGACCGGACGCCACUGCCCAACUGGCGGAGCCGAUAUCCGAUUAGCCAGUUGGUGCGGUAAAGGCUCACCAAGGCGACGAUCGGUAGCUGGUCUGAGAGGAUGAUCAGCCAGACUGGAACUGAGACACGGUCCAGACUCCUACGGGAGGCAGCAGUGGGGAAUAUUGGACAAUGGGCGCAAGCCUGAUCCAGCCAUGCCGCGUGUGUGAAGAAGGCCUUCGGGUUGUAAAGCACUUUUGUCCGGAAAGAAAUCCUGUCGGUUAAUACCUGGCGGGGAUGACGGUACCGGAAGAAUAAGCACCGGCUAACUUCGUGCCAGCCGCCGCAGUAACAC